ensembl:lncRNA
CGGAGUGGACCACACAGACAAAAUGCUAUAGGAUGGGGAUUGUAAAGAGCAUACAUUAAAGUCUCUCCUGAGAGCUUUAAAAUAUGCCAUGCUCAGGCCACAACACAGACAAAUUAAAUCAGAACCUCUGGGGGUGAGGUGAGGCCCAGGCAUCAGUAUUGGGUUUUUUUUUCCAGUGUCCCAGGUGAAUUCAAUGUGUGGCCAAGUUAGAAACCAGUGCCUUAGAGAGAAUAAGAUGAAAAGAGAAGACUGGGAACCUGACUAAUUUCCAGGAGCCAAUCUGGUCUUUUCCCACUGGGCGAGGGCCUCCAGUGGCUCCGGAAAGCAGAUCACUCACAUAACAUUAACCUCCAAAGCAAGAGCACUUUGGCUAAAUUCAAAAACUGUUAUUUUUUGAGACAGGGUACAUUUCUUUUUUUUUUUUUUUUUUUUUUUAUGGUACUGGGGAUUGAACUCAGGACCUUGCGCUUUCAAGGCAGGCACUGGAACCACUGAGCUAAAUCCCCGGCCCCAGGGUAUAUUUCUGAUGGAACAGAGUUUUAUUUCAAAGGCCUGGAAAAACAUGUAAUCUCUGUUAUGGUUUGGAACUUUAAAGUCCCCCAAAGGCCACCUGUUUAAGACUUGGUCACCAGCCUGUGGUGCUGCUGGGAGGUAGUGGGACUUUUUUUUUUUUCGUGAUACUGGAGAUUAAACCUAGGCCCUCUGCACUAAGGAGCGAUAAGAAACCUAACCCACACGACCUGUAGAGUAAGUUUGCCGGUUCACUGACUCCCAUCACAGAAAAAUAAUUUUCAGGACACAUCAAUGAGAGGCACAAAGGGAAUUAUUAGGCAGAAGUUUAAAAAUAACACUCAAAGGAAUAGAGUGCAAGCCCUCAAGAGAGAGAGGCACCUUAUUUCCCGGAACUGGGACAUUUAUGCUUCUCUUGAGGGACUGGAAACCCCAGGAAAAGGUGGCUGAGCCCUCAUAUUACAGGUGCUGUCCCAUGUUACAAAUAUGAGCCCAGAGUUUUUUAGAUGGAUUAUGUAAGCAUUAUUUUAAUUCCCUCAAUCUGUCCCUUUAUCUUAGAAUUAGGAUUCUGAUCUUUUCCUUCUGAGUUAAGCCAAUUUAUGGACUCUCGGGAUUCCUGAGGCAUGUUGGGGGAGAUGGGUCUGGAAGGAGAGGGGCCUGAAUGUGACCAAGGGAACAUCAACACCCUGAGUGACUUCCACAGGAUCCCAGAAGUUUCUGUCUUCUUAAAAGUACAAUCUUUAGUUAUGAUUUUCCGUGUCUCCUUUCUACCUUUUAUAUUUCUUCUUUCUUGCCUCAUCCUGAGCAAUGCUGUUGUUAAAUACGCACCUCCUGUGGACCUUCCAUGCAAUACAACUGGACCAUAUGCGCUUCCGGGCACUGACUGCCCACUUAUCUGCAGAUGUGGAGGGUUACGAGGUCCAUCCUGUAAAGGCCCCACCACCCUUCACUCCAUGCUGAGGACCAGGCCUGCAACACUGGAACUCCUGGUGGACAAAACGCAUCACAACUACACCAAUUACCAAAAGUAUGAAGCGGAAAGAGACCCCUGGGACAGAUGAUAAUGCCACCGCAGGGAGCAGGGGAAGAGGAGCAUGCUGGGAGGACAAUUCCCUAAGGAAUGACGGACCAACAAGAUGAAAAGUAGCAGGAUCCUGGAAGGACUGGAACAGCUGCCAACUGGACUCUCAUCACAGACUUGGCGAAAGACUUGGGAAUUAUCCGUCCUCUGUUGGAGGAGGAGCUCUCUGCCCAAGCAUCCUAAACCUUCACCCUCUAUAAUAGGCCAUUCAUUUAAGGUGCACAAUGACCCAGAGAGUUGGCUACUAUUAUUAUUCCUGUUUCACAUGUAAGGUUACUGAGGCUCAGAGAAGGCUGAAUAAUUUGCCCAAAUCUAUCGCUGAACCGCCCUAAAUGGACCCAAUCUUACAAGCUUGCUUGGUGCUUGGAUGGGAGGCUGCUUAUCACUGCCAGAAGCCCGAGGCUUUACAAUAAUAAUAAAUUCACCCACAAUUCCCAAACCAUGUGGUGCAAACAACAUCAGAAGCCAGAUUCCUUCAGCUCUAAAGAACACACACAAGUUCUGACUCACAAGUUCCAGGGCUGAGGCUGAGAAUCUGCAUUUGUAUAAAGCUCCUCUGUUACAGUUUGGAUUAAAAAUAAAAUGUGCCCAC